UUUUUUUUUUUUUUUUUUUUUUCUCUUCUGUCAAAAUCAUUUUCCACCACAAACCCACUUUCGUCCUUUGAAACCUGGGUUGAAUCAAAUCAGCUGGUCUCUGCAUCUCCUUGGGUUGAAGCAAACCCAUUUUCUUCUUCGAAUUUCACUUUGAAUCUCUUCGAAUGUCUCUUUGAUGUUCCGGUCGCCAGUGGUGGAGUGAGUUCUAGGAAGACGACAGAGACAGCAUCUCAGGCGGUCACUGUUGCAACGCCGAUCGCUGAAGGGUCUUCGCCUGUGGUGGAUAAGCCGAGGGGUACUCUCCCUUGGGGGUUCUAUCCGAAGAGUGUUGAGAUGCCUUGGUGCAGGCUUUUGUCACAGCCUGGACAGUGAAAAUACAAAAAAUGUGCUGAUUGCAGCUUCAUUUAUACACCUGAAACAUAGAGAACAUGCAAAGUAUACAUCAGAACUUACUACCGUGAACCCGCAUAUUUUGCUUUCUGGUCCUGCAGUUUCAGAGAUAUAUCAGGAAAUGUUGGCAAAGGCUCUAGCUAAUUAUUUUGGAGCGAAGCUGCUAAUAUUUGAUAGUCAUUCAUUUUUGGGUGGUCUAUCAUCAAAGGAAGCUGAGCUUCUAAACGAAGGAUUGAAUGCAGAUAAAUCAUGCAGCUGUACCAAACAGAGCCCUAUACCCACUGACUUGGCGAAGACUGCAAAUCAGUCAACAUGUGAAGCUGAGACACCAAGCUCUUCCAAUGCACCUUCAUCUGGCCUUGGAUCUCAACCAAAGGUGAUAGAGUAAGAUUCAGUCCAGUUUUUGGUGGCUUAUAUACGUCCACAUCUUUGUCAAGUUUCGUUUAGGCACCAUCGCUGGUUGUAGAAGCAAGUGCAAAAGCAUUUACAUUGACGGAUGCACUUUUGAGUGAAUAUACCAUGACAGACAUGCGCCCAGAGAUGAAUGACAACCAAGCUUGAUGACAAAGCAAGACGAUGACUCUUUAUUGGAUAUGGCCAUAAAGAAUUUGACUCCAAAUUUUUGAAACCUAUUGAUAAAAAGGUUAUCAGAAGUAGAGAUGUUGUAUUCUUUGAAAAUCAAACCAUUGAGGACCUUCAGAUGAAUGAAAAAUCAAAAUCCACCAAUGAAGAAAUAUUUAUUUCA